CUUACGGGAAAGCGCAAACGGUGCACCAGUGAGUCGUGAAUACUCGUGAUUGUGCGCCAGGAUAAGAAAGCAAACGUUCGUCUUUGCAGCAGGAGGUUAUUUGAUUUUGGGUUUUUUAUUUAACCGAUCUGAACCGACCGAAUCUCUUUUUAGGACCGAAUUUUACAAUAGACCAGUGAUAACGGGGUCAAAUGCGAAAUCAAGUAGUAGUAAUUGGGGUUUAGGGUUUUAGGUACGAAUGGAAUCCAAGAAAUUCGAAGCUAAGCUGCUUCUAAAGGAUAAACGGUUCUGGUUCGCCUCUGCCCUUAUUGUUUGGGCCGCUGCUCUCCAGGGACAUAUGAUGUGGUUACGGAGGCAAGAUUCUUUCAAGCAGAAGUUUGGAAAUGUAGAGCAGGACAAAGAUCAAAGCAGGAAUUAGCUGAAAAUCAUCACUAGUUGAAUCAUUUGCUCAAAUUACUGUCUUUGUUACUUUAGCUAAAUGCUUGUUGGAAAUUUCGUGACAAUGGCAACUAUGUACGAGUGUUAAUUGGUUGAAUGGACACUGGCAAUCAGUGUAACACACCAAAAGGAUCUCUGUGGUCAGCCAGUUGCCAUGCCACUGUGCAGUGCUGGUAUAGUUGGCUGCUGGUGGUGCCUACUAUGGCUUCUGUCCUAGCCUGGCCUACAUGUUUCGUUGGUUGAUACUUGGAAGGCGCUUCAAUUCUCCCACAUUUUCACCCACUUUUGGAUUGCUGCAACAUAAAAUCCAUCUAGGGAUCCAUGAAGAUUUGCUUGUCAUCUACUUUAUAUAGGAGAUGUUACAGUUGAGUUAUAAAUUAGUGUUUUGAGAUUUUAUCGCCAUUUAUGUAAUUGUGUGAUUCAUGAUCAUAGGCUACAGAUGAUAGCGGUUGGGCAUCCAUAUCCAAGGUUAUCUUGUAGCAAAUAUUGGAUGGUUCAAGAUAUGCUUUAGAACAGGUUGAUGAACAUUUUUUGGUAACCAAAACCUAUUUCUGUUC